rnacentral:rRNA from 1 species
UAACGUCUCAGUUCGGAUUGUAGUCUGCAACUCGACUACAUGAAGCUGGAAUCGCUAGUAAUCGCGAAUCAGAAUGCCGCGGUGAAUACGUUCCCGGGUCUUGUACACACCGCCCGUCACACCAUGGGAGUCAGUAACGCCCGAAGCCGGUGACCCAACCAAACGGAGGGAGCCGUCGAAGGUGGGACCGAUAACUGGGGUGAAGUCGUAACAAGGUAGC